rnacentral:rRNA from 1 species
UACGUAGGGGGCAAGCGUUGUCCGGAUUUAUUGGGCGUAAAGAGCGUGUAGGCGGCCCGACAGUUCCGUUGUGAAAACUCGAGGCUCAACCUCGAGACGUCGAUGGAAACCGUCGGGCUAGAGUCCGGAAGAGGAGAGUGGAAUUCCUGGUGUAGCGGUGAAAUGCGCAGAUAUCAGGAGGAACACCCGUGGCGAAAGCGGCUCUCUGGGACGGUACUGACGCUGAGACGCGAAAGCGUGGGGAGCGAACAGG